CACUCCUGCGGGAGGCAGCAGUGGGGAAUUUUGGACAAUGGGCGAAAGCCUGAUCCAGCCAUGCCGCGUGCAGGAUGAAGGCCUUCGGGUUGUAAACUGCUUUUGUACGGAACGAAACGGCCUUUUCUAAUAAAGAGGGCUAAUGACGGUACCGUAAGAAUAAGCACCGGCUAACUACGUGCCAGCAGCCGCGGUAAUACGUAGGGUGCAAGCGUUAAUCGGAAUUACUGGGCGUAAAGCGUGCGCAGGCGGUUAUGUAAGACAGUUGUGAAAUCCCCGGGCUCAACCUGGGAACUGCAUCUGUGACUGCAUAGCUAGAGUACGGUAGAGGGGGAUGGAAUUCCGCGUGUAGCAGUGAAAUGCGUAGAUAUGCGGAGGAACACCGAUGGCGAAGGCAAUCCCCUGGACCUGUACUGACGCUCAUGCACGAAAGCGUGGGGAGCAAACAGGAUUAGAUACCCGUGUAGUCCCA
rnacentral:rRNA from 1 species